AGAACGGAAGGCUCCCUUGAUGGAACUUAGACAGCAAGGCCAGAUGCACAUCCCUGGAAGGACAUCCAUGUUCCGAGAAGAACAGAUAAUCCCUGUAUUUCAAGACCUCUGUGCACUUAUUUAUGAACCUGCCCUGCUCCCACAGAACACAGCAAUUCCUCAGGCUAAGCUGCCGGUUCUUAAAUCCAUCCUGCUAAGUUAAUGUUGGGUAGAAAGAGAUACAGAGGGGCUGUUGAAUUUCCCACAUACCCUCCUUCCACCAAGUUGGAACAUCCUUGGAAAUUGGAAGAGCACAAGAGGAGAUCCAGGGCAAGGCCAUUGGGAUAUUCUGAAACUUGAAUAUUUUGUUUUGUGCAGAGAUAAAGACCUUUUCCAUGCACCCUCAUACACAGAAACCAAUUUUCUUUUUUAUACUCAAUCAUUUCUAGCGCAUGGCCUGGUUAGAGGCUGGUUUUUUCUCUUUUCCUUUGGUCCUUCAAAGGCUUGUAGUUUUGGCUAGUCCUUGUUCUUUGGAAAUACACAGUGCUGACCAGACAGCCUCCCCCUGUCCCCUCUAUGACCUCGCCCUCCACAAAUGGGAAAACCAGACUACUUGGGAGCACCGCCUGUGAAAUACCAACCUGAAGACACCGUUCAUUCAGGCAACGCACAAAACAGAAAAUGAAGGUGGAACAAGCACAGAUGUUCUUCAACUGUUUUUGUCUACACUCUUUCUCUUUUCCUCUACCAUGCUGAAGGCUGAAAGACAGGAAGAUGGUGCCAUCAGCAAAUAUUAUUCUUAAUUGAAAACUUGAAAUGUGUAUGUUUCUUACUAAUUUUUAAAAAUGUAUUCCUUGCCAGGGCAGGCAAGGUGGCUCACGCCUGUAAUCCCAGCACUUCAGGAGGCUGAGGUGGGCGGAUCACCUGAGGUCAGGAGUUUGAGACCAGCCUGAUGAAACCCUGUCUCUACUAAAAAUACAAGAAUUAGCCGGGCGUGGUGGCGCAUGCCUGUAGUAUCAGCUACUCAAGAGGCUGAGGUGAGAUUAUCGCUUGAACCCAGGAAACGGAGGUUGUAGUGAGCGGAGAUCGCGCCACUGCACUCCAGCCUGAGUGACAGAGUGAGAAUCCAUCUCAAAAAAAACAAAAAACAAAAUUGCUUGCUAAAGAAGUGGUCUCCUGAGGUCUUAAGACAUUCCUGACAGUGUCUUGAGUGGGUGGGAGAGAGGCUGCUGUCAUUGCGCUGUGGAAUUUCACAGAUGAGAACCACGCCUAGCCAAAAUCACUUUUCCUGUUUGCCUCAGUGACACAGCUGCAGGGACCCUCGUGGAUGUUGUAUUAAAUAAAUUUGACCUUUGCUCUUUGC
rnacentral:lncRNA from 10 species